GCUGAAGUGGUGGAACUGGUAGACACGCAGGACUUAAAAUCCUGUGCCCUCAACAGGCGUGCGGGUUCGAUUCCCGCCUUCAGUACAA
rnacentral:tRNA from 1 species